GAUGAACGCUGGCGGCGUGCCUAAUACAUGCAAGUCGAGCGAAUGGAUUAAGAGCUUGCUCUUAUGAAGUUAGCGGCGGACGGGUGAGUAACACGUGGGUAACCUGCCCAUAAGACUGGGAUAACUCCGGGAAACCGGGGCUAAUACCGGAUAACAUUUUGAACCGCAUGGUUCGAAAUUGAAAGGCGGCUUCGGCUGUCACUUAUGGAUGGACCCGCGUCGCAUUAGCUAGUUGGUGAGGUAACGGCUCACCAAGGCAACGAUGCGUAGCCGACCUGGGGGGGUGAGCGGCCACGCUGGAACUGAGACAGGGCCCAGACCCCUGCGGGAGGCAGAAGUAGGGAAUCUUCCGCAAUGGAGGAAAGUCUGACGGAGAAACGCCGCGUGAGUGAAGAAGGCUUUCGGGUCGUAAAACUCUGUUGUUAGGGAAGAACAAGUGCUAGUUGAAUAAGCUGACACCUUGACGGUACCUAACCAGGAAGCCACGGCUAACUACGUGCCAGCCGCCGCAGUAA
rnacentral:rRNA from 1 species